CAAAGGUAGCAUAAUCAUUAGUCUUUUAAUUGAAGGCUGGUAUGAAUGGUUGGACGAGAUAUUAACUGUUUCAUAAAAAUUUAUAUUAGAAUUUUAUUUUUUAGUCAAAAAGCUAAAAUUUAUUUAAAAGACGAGAAGACCCUAUAAAUCUUUAUAUUUAGAUUAUUAUAAUUGUAUAGAUUUUUUUUGUUAUAAUAAUUAAUAAUAUUUUAUUGGGGUGAUAUUAAAAUUUAAUGAACUUUUAAUUAUUAAAAACAUUAAUUUAUGAAUAAUUGAUCCAUUAUUAGUGAUUAAAAAAAUAAGUUACUUUAGGGAUAACAGCGUAAUUUUUUUGGAGAGUUCAUAUCGAUAAAAAAGAUUGCGACCUCGAUGUUGGAUUAAGAUAUAAUUUUAGGUGUAGUAGCUUAAAUUUUAAGUCUGUUCGACUUUUAAAUUCUUACAUGAUCUGAGUUCAAACCGGCGUAAGCCAGGUUGGUUUCUAUCUUUAAAAA
rnacentral:rRNA from 1 species